rnacentral:rRNA from 1 species
CCUACGGGGGGCAGCAGUGAGGAAUAUUGGUCAAUGGUCGGGAGACUGAACCAGCCAAGCCGCGUGAGGGAGGAAGGUACAGAGUAUCGUAAACCUCUUUUGUCAGGGAACAAAGGCGGGGACGUGUCCCCGGCUGAGUGUACCUGAAGAAAAAGCAUCGGCUAACUCCGUGCCAGCAGCCGCGGUAAUACGGGGGAUGCGAGCGUUAUCCGGAUUUAUUGGGUUUAAGGGGUGCGCAGGCGGUCUGUUAAGUCAGCGGUCAAAGCCCGGGGCUCAACCCCGGCCCGCCGUUGAAACUGGCAGUCUCGAGUUGGAGAGAAGUAUGCGGAAUGCGCGGUGUAGCGGUGAAAUGCAUAGAUAUCGCGCAGAACUCCGAUUGCGAAGGCAGCAUGCCGGCUCCACACUGACGCUGAGGCACGAAAGCGUGGGUAUCGAACAGGAUUAGAUACCCUGGUAGUC